CGAAAGACCCACCCGGAAACCAGAUCGGCCGGACUAAUUUUUGAACCGGUUUUUAGUAAUAGUAAAAAAGACCGUAGUUUCUCUAAAAAAAAAUUUGGUCGGAAGUUUCUCUAAGUUGAGUAAGCUCUAACCUCAACCUCGCCUCCUCUGUUUCUCCAUUUUCAUUGUCGCCUCUCUCUCUCUCUCCCAGCAAGCUAGCAACCCCAACCCUAGCUCCACCGUAGGAACCCUCACCACCGUCGUCGCCAGUCGGUCCGCCUUUCGCUAUUGCCACCAUCAGUGCCAUAGGAGAACCCAACCCAGCUCGUUGUCGCCACCAUCACCUCUCGUUGUUGCCUCUCUUUUGCAGCUCUACCGACUUCUAUUUGCGGCCUGUCUUUGCUGUCAAUGUGCCUAGCCAGCCGAUUCUCCAAUGGAAACAAGUUGAUAGAUCAAGACAUAUCAAUGGAAGUGGAUGGAUAUGAUGAAAUGAGUCUGCUAAUGGAUUAACUAUGUUGUUUGUUUUGUUUUCAAGUGGUUAGAAUUUGGAGAAAUAAUUUUAUGUAUGAAUAAGGGAUGAUGUUUUAUAAUUUAUGUUUUAUGUUAUGUGUUUGUUAUUGUUAAUAAUUGUACAUGACUAUGUGUUCAUCUUAUGAAUUGUUGAUUUUGGCG